GUUGAAGUUACCAACUAUAAUGAAUCUGUCUAUUUCUCCUUUCCGUUCUGAUUACUGCCUCAUGUAAUCACGACGACUAUGCUCUGCUUGAGCUUUCUUUUCCUGUGCCACCAUCUAAAAAGUGUCCCUUACUCCCCAGGCAGAAAGUUGUAUUUAUGCCUCAACAUGCUCAAAUUUUAAAGCCAAAGCACUCGGUGCAAGUCAAAUCAACAGCAAACAAAUCUGAAGCACACAAAUGGCUCUUUGCAUAUUGCAACCGAGCACUGAGUUGAGGAAGAUGGAGGAUACCCAAGGCGAAGAAGACCAGGAUCCAACAGAAGGACUUGCUGAGAGUUAAAUGACUGGAAAGGGGUGAAGCCAGGCCCAGAGCCUUGUCUUGGGAAGUUAAGAUGGGUUCAUGUUCAUCUAUCUCCACUAUGUAAUCUUGAGACAAGACGGGAAAGACUCUGACAUCCUGGAUGAACCUGGGACCCACAUUCAGUAGAACUGAGUGUGAAUUCUGGUUCACAAAUGUGCCAGUCAGAUCAUCCUCCUCAGUCUUAGUCUCUGUACAUCAAGCAUUGAUGAGCCCUGUCCAGUCAGAACCCCCCACCCCCACCCCAUCCUCAAGACUCUUACAGGAUUUAUCAUCUGCACCAAGGGCUGCCUUCUCUUCUUAUGAUUCUACCUUGAAAGCAUGUGCUGUGAGGGUGAGGACAAGACCUUGCCAUGGCUUGUGUCCCCAAAGCUCCUGAUACAGUGCCUGGCAUUUAGCAGGUGCACCCCAACAUGUCCUUGCUUCCUAGCAUCCCCAGCUCUCAAUUCCCAGGGCCUGGAGAAGCUCUUUGAGCCGAUGAAGUGUAUCUUCCCUUACACAGGAGAAGGCAAUAAAUCAAUAAAGGUGCUCAACAAGAUAAAAAGAAGACCAGGGCAUCUGCUCUAAGCAGAUGGUUGAAAUCAACAUGUUUCCUGAGGAAGUUUUGACCAAUCACCUCAAAAAUGUACUGCUGUUUCAAGUAUUAGAAGAGGUUUAACAAUAAAAAUAUGCCCCAGACAA